AUUCAAUGGAGAGGACAUUUUUAUAUGUAUCCUUUAAAAUGCUUCCAUGCUUCUAGAAUGGUUUCUGUCUUCUGUUGUUGAAAGCAGAUGAUCUUUCUUCUUAAGGC
rnacentral:snoRNA from 1 species